rfam:Glycine max cultivar Williams 82 chromosome 16, whole genome shotgun sequence.
AAAUUAUGGUUUGGGCACCUCCACAACAAAGCUUUGAAUCUCUCCCAUGUUUCACGGAGAGGUUCAUCAGACCCUUGGGAAAAAGUAGCAAUGACGUAUUUUGCACU